rnacentral:rRNA from 1 species
UAGAGGAAGUAAAAGUCGUAACAAGGUUUCCGUAGGUGAACCUGCGGAAGGAUCAUUAAAAGAUAUAGCAUAUUCAUUUAUGAAUGUACUUUAUAAACCCAUUCCGAGUACCUUACCCGUUGCUUCCGUGGGGCAGUGAUUCACGUCACCUCUGAAGAUGGCCUUGGUCAUUGGAAGGGAGUCUCCGCGGGAGGUAUACAAUAAAUUCUUGCAUUACCAUGUCAUCUGUCUGAAUCUGUUUAUAACAAAUGUUAAAACUUUCAACAACGGAUCUCUUGGUUCUCGCAUCGAUGAAGAACGCAGCGAAAUGCGAUAAGUAGUGUGAAUUGCAGAAUUCAGUGAAUCAUCGAAUCUUUGAACGCACAUUGCGCCUUCCGGUAUUCCGGGAGGCAUGCCUGUUCGAGCGUCAUUAAAAACCACUCAAGCUCUUUUGCUUGGUCAUGGAAGAUGAGUGUGCUUUGUGCUCUCACUUCCGAAAUUCAAUGGCGGAAAGCCCCAUGUGCCCCGGCGUAGUAAGUUUUCUUUCGCUUGGACUGUGAGGUGAUCCUGCCACAAACCCCCAAUUUUUCUAGGUUGACCUCGGAUCAGGUAGGGAUACCCGCUGAACUUAAGCAUAUCAAUAAGCGGAGGAAAAGAAACCAACAGGGAUUGCCUUAGUAACUGCGAGUGAAGCGGCAAAAGCUCAAAUUUGAAAUCUGGCGUCUUCGGCGUCCGAGUUG